CCCAAAAGAGAUAGCAAGUGAAUUAUCGAUUGUCAACCCUGAUGCUCCCAUCAUGCUCAAUCGCAUGCUUAGACUACUUGCCAGCCACAAUAUCGUCAUCUGCAAAUCAAAAUCAUAUAGUAAUUGUGAUGAAAACACCAUAGUUGGUACUACGUUAUAUGGUAUUGGCCCUAUAUCUAAGUAUUUUGUCAAAAAUGAGGAUGGUGUUUCACUAGCUCCCAUGCUUGCCGCAAUCCAAGAUAAGGUUUACAUGAAAAGUUGGUAAGCUAUUUUUUUAUCAUCUUUAAUUCCAACUUUAAGAAAUCAAUCAUAACAUGUUAUAUUUAUAGGAAAACAUAAGAUAGUUUGAGACAUUUGAAACUAGGCCGUCCAUUUGAGAUAUGUAUCAUAUUAUACUUAUAUUUAAUCAUAUUAUACUUAUAUUUAAUCAUAUUAAAGAAACCAUUAGAUUUAAAAUUAACGACAUAAAUAUUGAAGAUAUCUCUUAUAAUAUCUCAAGAUUUUUUUUAUAGGUACUACUUGAAAGAAGCAGUGAUGACAGGUGGUAUUCCAUUCAACAUGGCGUACGGAAUGUCAGCUUUUGAGUAUCAUAGUAUAGAUGUGAGGUUCAAUAAUCUAUUUAAUAAAGCAUUUUUUAAUAUGACAAUCCUUAUGAAGAAAAUUCUUCAUUUAUAUAAUGGAUUUGAGAGUAUCAACAAAUUGGUUGAUGUUGGUGGGGGCACUGGAGCCAAUCUAAACAUCAUAAUCUCGCAACAUCCAACCAUAAAGGGUGUCAACUUCGACCUUCCUCAUGUCAUCAAAAAUGCCCCCUUAUUUAAAGGUAACAUAAUAUAUCCAGAAUCAGUAUAUAAUUGAAUGUUUUGCGGAAACUAAUUAUGUAUGAUUGUGUUCUGUUUUACAGGAGUGAAACAUGUUGGCGGAGACAUGUUUGAGAAGGUUCCUAGUGGUGAUGCCAUUUUUAUGAAGGUAUAUAUCUUAAACUGGCCUUUAAUUUUCCAUAUAUUGAUUCUAACCCAGAUAAGUACAUCACUGUUUUGUUUUAUGCAGUUUAUCCUACAUGAUUGGAGCGACGAUCAUUGUGUGAAGUUAUUGAAGAAUUGUUGGAAACAACUUCCAAAAAAUGGAAUGGUUAUCGUCUGUGAAUUUACUAUUCCCGUUGAACCACAAGAAGAUAAUUCAGCUUUCUAUAGUGAUAUGUCGAUGUUGACACUAAAUCCGGGAGGUAAGGAGAGGACUGAAAGUGAAUAUAGUUUACUGGCGAAGAAAGCAGGAUUUGUCGAUUUCAAAGUUGCAUGUGAUGUAUAUGGAAUGUACAUCAUGGAAUUCAGUAAGUAGUUGCACGCCCAAAUUUCUUCCUUAUGUGGAAAUACUAAAUAAAAUUAAAGCUUAUAUACACAACUUGAUUAGUCCAGUUGGUAACUAUCACUAUUAAGGUGGACGAACUGUUAAAGGUCCAGGGUUUGAGUCUCAAUGUAUGUAUUUUAAUUUAUAUUUACUUUUGUAUCAGUUUAUCAAAAAAUAAAAAUGUUUGCAAUAUAUAUAUAUAGAGAAAAAAUCAGGAACGACCCUGAUCGCACGGUGCCCUAAAACGGUACCUGCCCCCUCCGCCUUGCGAUUCCACAUCCACGGUCGUCUCCUCUCCAAGCCAACGUAUCUACCGAUGGCCAAUCUACCUCUAACAGAGUAAUGUGAGAUACUGUCAGUAACUGCGAUUUCGGUCCCGCAACAGAGUAACUGCGAUUUCGGUUCCGCGGAACCCAUCGCGAGUUCCGCGGAACUCGAUCGCGGUUCUGCGGAACUCGAUUUCGCAGAACCGGAACCGAAAUCGCGAUAGUGAGGGCCUCUGACACUGGCAGUGUGCCGGAAACGAAUCUUGCUGCGAAGAAGCCAAAGAUCUUAGUUGCCGGAGGCGGAAUCGAUUUGAGUACCAACUGCACAAACAUCGGUUGGUGUUCUUUUCCACCACUGGAAGCCUCAAUUGCUUUUUUCCCAACAAUCAUCUUGGUUUUGUGGUUGAAAUAACGCAGACCCCAAAGACCUUUAUUCAGAGCAGUUGAACUCGCACCCAAUUUUGAUGCAUACAUCUCUGCAAACUGAGCAAUGCCGAAUCCCCAACCAUCUAGCGCACAGACGAAGACCACAUUUCCUUUCUGUGGCUGGAACGUAUCUGCCUCAUUGUCUUCCUCCUCUACGAAUUCUUCUCCUACAGUGCUGGAUCCAGUGAUGAAGAGAUCCACAUCAGAGAGGUACUUGACAGAUUUAAACCCACUGAUAAUUCCAUUGACAUCGUGAAUAAUCCUUUGCAAUUUCGUAUAGGCUUCCAUCGGACUCAACUUUAACUCUGUGAUCAAUCGAUCGAUCUUGUUGAGGACGAGACAAGGAGUCAACUUCUCAAUCCAUGCCUGACGGAGAGCAGCAUGGGUUUGGAUAUGAACACCUUCGACGGAAACAACCAGAACCAAAGCCCCAUCACUUAAUCUGGCGGCAGUGGACACCUCGCUGCAGAAGUCGAUGUGUCCAGGGGAAUCAAUAAGGUUUAUGGAAUGUUCACCGUAUUUCAAUAAAAUAGAAGAGCUUUUCAUUGUGAUGGCUCGCCGUUGUUCCGCGGAACUCGAUCGCGGUUCCGCGGAACUCGAUCGCGGUUCCGCGGAACUCGAUCGCGGUUCCGCGGAAUCGGAAUCGGACCGCCGUGGAAUCGGAAUCGGAACGACGCGGAAUCGGAACGUCGUGGAAUCGGAAUCGGAACGACGCGAAAUCGGAAUCGGAACCGGAACCGUACGGAUCGAGGAGGGGAACGCACGGUGCGGACGGGCCGUGCCAGAUGUUUUUCCUAUAUAUAUAUACGUGUCUAUAUUUAUAUUUGUUUAAGAUGAAUGUCUAUAUACAAUUUCCAUUCUCAUAUAUACGUGUAUUAGGUCGUGGUAGGGGUGAGAAUGGUCCCGGGUCACCCCUUAGACCCGUCUCGUACGUUCCGUGUCUUGGUGGGAACAGGAUCGAGGUAGGAUUUUGCCCCGAAUUUUUUUUCCCGCCUUGUUGCUCCGGUCAUUUUAUGGAGCAGGUGUUAGGGCAGGGAAAACUAUAAUUUUCCUUUUAUUUUUAGCCUCGAUCAUAUUUUCGAGGGCGGGUCUCAGAGCUUGUAAAUGGUACAUCAAAAUUUGAAUUCGAGUUUGAAUUUUUUUAAAACUAUUUGAAUUUGGUUAUUCAAAUUUCAAAUGCGAAUUCAGUUUUCAAUUUUUGAAUCCGUGAAAUAUUUGGUCGAAUAUACGAAUUCAAUUCAACAAUUUGAGGUAUUAGACAUCUCAACUAAUGAUCAUAUAAUACAAAACACACCAAAAAAAGAGAAACAGUCCUCAAUCAACAAUGACCCAAUAACAUCAUUGGUGACUAAGAUAAGUAUCUCAGACAAACAAAAACAUUAUGAAAAAUCUACUAGUCCAAAAUAGCAAACAAAAACACUCUUCUGGACUAAUUAGAGAAUGAGAAGAACAUAUCCAAAUCUGAAUUGGGAGAGAAAAUUAAAAGCACAAAGAUGUCAAAAACAUUAAAAUCAAAAAGGUGAGAAGACCCUUCAAAAAGACCAACUAAAUAUGAUGAUAUCUAUUGUCCUAGUUUCAAAGAAACCAGAAAAUGAAAGUAUAUCAAAUCACAGGUUUAAUGAAAAACAUAAAGAUUUUGUGAAAACAAUCACAAAAGAAACAAAAUCAAAACAUUACCAUCAUGCCAAGUGUUACCCAAAAUGGCGUCAGACUAUGAAUGAGGAAAUGUUGGCUCUUAAAAAGAACAACAUAUGUUCCAUAUAUAGUACCGUUACCAUCUAACAAAAAGCCCAUAGGCUCAAGAUGGAUAAAAUAAAAUACAAAUCUGAUGAGACCAUUGAGAGAUACAAAGCUCGACUACUAACCAACUCAAUACCCAAACUAGUAUCAUUCAAAACACUAUUAACCAUAGUGGAAGACUUAAAUGAAGCUCCAUCAAAUGGAUGUAUACAAUGCAUUCUUGCGCACAUGAAGACCCAAAUGAGGAAAUAUAUAUGAUUAUAGCCCAAAUGCAUGUUCUGGAUUUUUAUGGCCAAAAGAUUUUUCAUUUUUCACAACACACCAUAAGACCAAAAACUGAUUCUUUCAACAUGCAAGGAGUAGCUCUUAAAUGAUUUUUAUGGAUGGAGUCCAGCAACUAUCUGACUACAUGGCUUGCAUUUGUCAAGUCUAUAUUAAAGAAAUUUAAUCCAACUACAUGCACCACUCCAGGUGGAAAACUCAGUAAAUUUGUUUCAAACAUCAACAGUUGCUGAUUUCAUGGAGAAAUUUGAAGAUUACUCAUCAAAAGUAAUAGGAAUCCCUGAUUAGCUAUUAUUAAAAUGUUCCUAUCAUGCCCAAAGGAUGAUAUUCAAAAAGAUGUAGUGACACAGCAAAACUUGAAGAUUUACCAGAGGCUAUGAUCAAGGUGGCUAUUCAUCUUGAAAAACAGGGAACAAGAAGCACUUCAACCUUCAAACAAGGAGGAUACAAAUCCAUCCAUGAAAGGCAAUAUAUACUACACCAAGAAUAAUAUUAAGUGAGUAUAUAACUCUAAUAUGGCCAGCAACACAAUCACCAACACUCCCAAAACAGAAAAUCUAAACCCAAAUUUCAAGAGCCUCACAUUUGCUGAGAGAAAAAAAAGAACUUCCAAAGGGUUAUGCUUUAAUUAUGAUGAAAAAUUCUCACCGAGACACAAAUGUAGAGGAAAAUUAUUCAGAUUUUCAGAUAAAAACAACACCUUCUGAGAACUAGCAGAUACAGAUGAAGGAGAAGAAGAAGCUGGAAUUAAAAUUCUGAAGAUCGAGGAAGAGUCUGAAAUCAGCCUUCAAGCAUUACAGGGAAGAAUUGGCAUAAUAAACAUCAGACUGGAAGGCUUCAUCAAAAGCUUUAAGACAGACCUUUCAAUCAAAAUGGAACAUACACAAGAAUGGUGGUAGGAUAUUGGAAUAUUAAAAUACAAAUCACUUCUUACUUUCUUUGUAGAUCUUAGAAGAUUAGAAGUACAAGUGUUGAACCGUAGAUCUCGAUCUUUUUGAAAGCUUUUUGGUGCUAGACCACAACUUGAGGGAUGAAUGAUUGAACUCAAAGAUUGAAGAUUUGAAGAGAGUUUGGAAGCUCAAAAACGUUGUAGUGUGUUGGCUUCAAAUGAUGAAAGUUUCCCUCUAUUUAU
rnacentral:lncRNA from 1 species